UACGGAGGGCGCGAGCGUUGUCCGGAAUCACUGGGCGUAAAGGGCGCGUAGGCGGCCCUGGUAAGUCUGCGGUGAAAGCCCGGGGCUCAACCCCGAGUCGGCCGUGCGAACUGCUGGGCUUGAGCACUGUAGAGGCAGGCGGAAUUCCGGGUGUAGCGGUGGAAUGCGUAGAGAUCCGGAAGAACACCGGUGGCGAAGGCGGCCUGCUGGGCAGUGGCUGACACUGAGGCGCGACAGCGUGGGGAGCAAACAGG
rnacentral:rRNA from 1 species